rnacentral:rRNA from 1 species
UACAGAGGGUGCAAGCGUUAAUCGGAAUUACUGGGCGUAAAGCGUGCGCAGGCGGUUUUGUAAGUCUGUCGUGAAAGCCCCGGGCUCAACCUGGGAAUUGCGAUGGAGACUGCAAGGCUUGAAUCUGGCAGAGGGGGGUAGAAGUUCCACGUGUAGCAGUGAAAUGCGUAGAGAUGAUGGAGGAACACCGAUGGCGAAGGCAGCCCCUGGGUCAAGAUUGACGCUCAUGCACGAAGCGUGGGGAGCAACAGG